UCGCCGCGACGCCGUCCGAAAGACUUAACGGCUCCCGGCGGGUUUGUUCCCGGUGAAGGAGUCGCCACCGGAGCUGUAGUAUUGGAGCCGAGCGACAUCUGUGUACAGAUACCACCUUCCGUGUAGACAUUCAAAGUGUAUUUCUUCAGGUCCGGGGCAUGAUGUGGCCAGUGUGGAUCUCUCUGUGCCCUCACUCCCACUGAACAACAGCCCCCCAGAAUGCCAAGGAGCCCCCUGCCUGUGAGCCAAACCAAGCUGUCCCAGGAGACCAGCAAAGCACAGCCAGGAUGGUCAUGAGGAGCAAGAGAGCCAGCUUGAGGACAAAUGAUGAUGGAGAGUACACUGCAAUCACCCUCCAGACCAGCAGAGGGCGAC